GGCAGCGGCGGGGUCUCUCUCCGGCGCGGCGGUCGGCGCCGGCGGCGUCGCCGGCCUCCUCCGCAUGAGGCGCUCGACAUUCGCCGUCCUCUCAGUCCCCCGCCCUGGCGGAUCCAUCGCCGACGGCGGCCACCUCAUCUGGGGCCGCCAGCUACGCCCCGCGCUCCUCCUCGAGAGAUCGCCGGUGAAGACCCGGCCGGAGAUUCUCCGGCCGUUGUUUGCCGCCGCGUCGUCUCCGGCUGAAGGGAGCGAUUCCGUCGGGGACGGGACGGUGGCGCCAUUGAGUUUUGCGGCGAAGUACCCGGCUCUGAUCACCGGAUUCUUCUUCUUUAUGUGGUACUUCCUGAACGUGAUUUUCAACAUAAUAAACAAGAAGAUAUACAAUUAUUUUCCUUAUCCCUACUUCGUGUCUGUCGUUCACCUCGGCGUGGGUGUUGUGUAUUGUUUAGCAUCCUGG
rnacentral:misc_RNA from 1 species